rnacentral:rRNA from 1 species
CUACGGGCGGCUGCAGUGGGGAAUUUUGCGCAAUGGGGGAAACCCUGACGCAGCGACGCCUCGUGGGUGAUGACGUUUUUCGGAAUGUAAAGCCCUGUCAGUAGGGACGAUUAUGACGGUACCUACAAAGGAAGCUCCGGCUAAUUCCGUGCCAGCAGCCGCGGUAAUACGGAGGGAGCAAGCGUUGUCCGGAUUUAUUGGGCGUAAAGCGUGCGUAGGCGGUUUUAUAAGUUAGAUGUUAAAGACUCGGGCUCAACCCGGGUACGCGUCUAAAACUGUAUGACUGGAGGUCGGGAGAGGAAAGCGGAACUCACAGUGUAGCGGUGAAAUGCGUAGAUAUUGUGAGGAACACCAGCGGCGAAGGCGGCUUUCUGGACCGAUUCUGACGCUGAGGCACGAAAGCAUGGGGAGCAAACAGGAUUAGAUACCCCUGUAGUC